UUUUGUUCUAUCUGUCCUCUCUUGAGGUUAUCAUGGAAGGUGAUGUCAGAUUGUGUCUUAAUGCAUGGUAGGAAUAAUUUGACCACAAACAGUGUGUGUGAGCCUCAAAACCCUCCCUAACCGGCUGAAGAAAGAGCGACAGAGGCGUUCAAUGCGAUAGUAACAACACUCCUGUCUGAGUCCGACUCAUUAACCUGGGUACGGGCGGAAGGACUGCGCCAUGAGUCCUGAGACCGCGCAUGUGGAGUGAGCAUGGAGAGAUAACAUUCAAACUUCCCUCAAGCUCCUGGUGUACUGGUGGGAGAAAUGGACCAGACAGAAUGGUGGUAGCAGCUCAGGUGAGAGACUCGUAUGUGGGAAAAACUGAUUACUUUAUAUUACCAAGGGCCAUCAAAUGUGACAGGCAAGAGUUACAAAUGUGCCGUUGGGAAGGAGGAAGUGCCGGGAGGGGGGGUGGUAUUAAUCAAGGUCUACACACUGCGAACAAUUUAGACUAAGAAUGCAUUGAGAUACCGAUAUUUCAUUACCAUGCCACUUGAGACAGGAAAACAGGGACAAAGGGGGGUUGUAAUGAGAAGUGUUAUUACCGGAAAUAAAAGGUCCCGCUUAUAAAUGUACAUUCUAACCGUGAAGAUGUGUGCUAGGUUGAGAAGCUCGCAUUAGAGUGAUAGACUCAAAGUAAAGCCCUAAAGACUGUCAUUCUAAAUUUGGGUUGGAUAAUUUCUAAAAUGUUUUAUCUAUGAUUCGGCUCCAGCGAGAGAGUUGCUCUCAGACUGUUGAGGGGUGGGUACACUGCCCAAAUGUAUUAGGCCUACGGAGGCUGUACAGACCUUGUCUUUAAGUGUCCUCCAAUAGGGAGGUUGCUAGAGAACUCACUGGAUGAUAGCUUGGGUCAACAAUUUUUUAUUUCAUUAUAAAAAUCAUUUUUACCAUGUCAUCAGAAUUUUUAUGUCAAAUCGCAUCGAUACAUAUAGAUUGCUCGAUGAUGCGGUACAAUUAAUUGCAUACAAGGCUCAUAGUCUGUGUCUUGUGUUAACACCCAAGGAUGAAAAUGAAGGAGACGGGCAUGGAGACCAGCAUGACAUCGGCAUAGCACGUAAAGGAUGGGCGGUUCUGUCCCCAGUUGUAGUAGCAUCAAGGGUGGUGUGAAAUUAUUAAACAUGUAUUUUCUCUCUUCCCUGUUUAAGUCAAUAUGUUUUUAGGUUUCGUGGAACAUAGAGUAAUCAUUGUUCCAGAGGAGGGACUGACAUAUAUUGCCUAAUUGAUUUGAGAAUAUUUUAGUAUAUUUAUAACUUUAGAAGUGCAUUAGGAGUAGUGACCAUGUGUUAUGGGUUAGAUGGAAUGAUAUAUGUGCAAAUGUAUCUGUAGCAGGAGGCGAGGUACACAUGAGGUCUGCGUUUGAGACAGAAGGUUUACAUAAGGCUGUUAAGUGGGAUCGAAUGUGACUGAGGUGGAGAUCUGUGGGGGCUUAAAAAUUGAGGUCGGGGUGAUAGUGGUAUCAUUCCCAGAGGCUAUGUAUAUUGUUACAGGAGAUAGCUCGUAGGAGAGGGAGGACAGCUAACUGCACAAUAUAGGGACUAUUACACAUACCCAGAUCAUGGUGAAAGUAGCAGAGAUAGUGUUGGCGUUUCAGACACUUUCAGGAAACCUGUGACUCAGAGUUUUGUUAGGUUUGAUAUUCUUCCAACGUCAUUGAUCUCUUUCCCAUUUAUAACAGCCAAACAGACAGCGAACACUUAACAGAUUCCAUGCAGUAGUUAUUCUCACGGCAGUCGCUAUAGGGACAAUAAUUGAAGGAGGCUAUAGUAACCACAUGGAAUUGGACUACGGCGCAAAUUGAGGAUUUUGAGGUGUGCGUCAUGGGCAGUGUUAGUAGUAGCAGGGGUUACUGUAGUAGCAUUGUAGGGAGAGUCUAUGUUGUCAGGAAAUGACCCAUGCGUUGCAGUGUGUAUAUUCCCAGGUGAAAGCGGCACAUGAGGAGCAGGAGAUAACCGAGAGAACGGGCUGAAUUCUGGAGAUUGAGUGUACAUCAAGAUACACCUGGAGGGGGUGUUGGGACAGCGUUGGUCUGGUCUACACACAGUACUCCUUACAGCACCUGCAGUGGUAAAGAUCGUCUCUCCUCGGUGGGUUCACCCUUCUCACGUGAAGUGAGGUCCAGCUGCAUAAUGGCUCCAGUGGACACGUUAUUAUCAGUGUUCUACGAGAAAUGGAAAUACGAUUGUGCUUGGUAUGACUAUAGAAUAGAGGCCAUAAGUCUCUGAGUUUGUAAACCUCACUGUGAAUGUUAAUUAUGUUUUGUUUUUUUGUUCAUGUUUUGUUAUCAUUGUUUGUUCAUGUAUAAGUCAUUUCCAAGUUUAUGUAAGAUGAACAGCAGGAAGCUAUUGUUCAAGAGGAGGGACUGUUGGGUUCUGAGAAUAUGAAAUAUACUUAUUCAUGUCACUGAGGGAGAGAAGGUAAUGUAUAAUGUUUACAUUAUGUCAGGAUAUGUUGUUGUUAGCCAGCAGGGAUCCUUUGGGAGGGAUCCUCUGGGAGGAGAAGACACACAGUCUGGUACCAGUCACCAUGACAGCUGUGAGUUGGGGAGGAGUGAGCACUUGGGAGCUGCUUUUCUUUAUCUUAGGAAUUUAAUGAUAGGAUUUAGUGUAAAUAAUAUGUCAUUUUGAUUUACUUAUUUUUCUGCUGACGACAGGUAGGGUUGUGAGGUGCUAAAAAGAGGUAGGGAAUUUGUAACAUUUAUUGCCACCUUUCAUCCAGCCUAUGCGGCGAUCUCAUUGUGCUACACUCUAUGAACUACCCGUGUGCAAUAAAUUCUGAAUGUUUUUAGGAAGCAAUUUAGAUUGAAAAUAUAUGUUGUGUGCUCUCUUUAAAUGACUCGCCCUUUGUGUCUAAUCCAAAGACUGUCUCAAAACAUCUGAACCUGAGGAGCAGCGAGUUCUCCACAGAGAGCUUCAGGGUCACCUGGGAACACUCAGCCCAAGACGUGGUCCUCUACACUCACCUGGACCCCAACCAGAGGAGGAGCACUAAUGAGGUAUUUCUGUCUGUCUGUCUAGUUUUCCGUCUGUCUGUCUAGUUUUCUGUCUGUCUGUCUGGUUUUCUGUCUGUCUGUCUGAUUUUCUGUCUGCCUGUCUAGUUUUCUGUCAGUCUGUCUGGUUUUCUGUCUAGUUUUCUGUCUUUUUAUUUUUCUGUCUGUCUGUCGGUCUGGUUUCUGUCUGUCUCUGUUUGUCUCUCUCUCUCUCUCUCUCUCUCUCUCUCUCUCUCUCUCUCUCUCUCUCUUCAUGGUGAAGACGCAGGUGAAUGGUAACAUGAACACCUACCUUCUAAACACUGAAGAAUAACGAGCAUGCUGUUUGACACAAUGAACCUAGGUGUACUUCACAUACUUUCUAGGUGUACUUCACAUACUUUCAGCUUUAGUAUGAAGAUCGACAAGGAUGAGAUCAUCCUUCAAGAUCAAAACAACUUACUGAAAGAUGUUGAAAACAAAUCCCACACAAGAGCCACAUACAGUAGAGGAGCAUUAUUGUGACAGAAUACAAUGACUUUGGAAAAAGUAAAAAAUGUUGUUUAAGUUCAAUUUUUGUUUUUGGUGCUGCUCUAUGGUCAUCAAUGAAGACCGAACGCCCACAAUGAUGACGCCAUACCCAUUGAACCCAUUUUUUUACAAUCACAUACCUCCCCACUAACACACAGGCAUUGAUGGUUGUGUUAUUGUACACGUUUAAAGAUAUCCAUUACAAAGCUUAAGUGUCCCACUUUGCUAAGUGUCCCACUUAACCAAAACUCACCCGAAUGGGGUAUGGUUUAUCUAACCUUGGGUGUAUAUUGCUGUAUCCAUAUUUUUUUUUACCUCAACAGAAUGGGCUUCUUUCUAGUUAUUUUACCACCUGAAUUUAAGGGGAUUUGUCGCUACACAAAUACACUCAGAAAGAAAACAAUUGUAAGGCAUUUAAUGUUUGCCAUAUAUCAGGGGUGAAAGUAAGGCGGUAAGGUCCAGUAUGACGUCCCCGCAAAAUAAAUAUUGGGGGUACGCCGUACCUGUAAAACAUGAGCCUAUCACAAUUAAUACAACAUGCCCUCAAAAAUAUAGGCUAUUACACCAUUAUGUAACAUUACUACAUGUCUGAGGCAUGAAACAUUUUCGAAUUAACAUGGUGGUCUAUGCUCCAAAUUGCAUUGUGGUUUGAGGAGAACACUUACAUUUUGUAAAGGUGGAGAUGAGAGGUCGAGACGCUGGAGGUCAAUUCGGAGUCUGAGGACCGCGUGGACAACAGUGGAUGCAUCAAUUCAGGCUAGGCUAAGUGUAGGCCUAAUGACAAUGGCAGAAUGUCAUCACAAUACACCUAGGUGUUUUGUAACAGGUGUCUCUUUCCAUUCAUCACAUUGCGGCUGCUCAGUGCACUGUUGGGGUUUGGUUGCUGAAACUAUUUAGUGAGUGGACGAAUGUUCGCAGAUAGCCUAUAGGAGCGCCUUUGUUAAGCGAUUGUUUGGCAGUCAGAUGAAAACCUCCUGACUGGUUGUGUUUAUUCCACAUUAAAAGGCAUAGGCGGCGUAUCCAUAAGGCUAGGGGAAGCUACGCUUUCACUAAAGUAAAUAUAAUUAAAUUGCUAAAAUUAUAUAGCCUAAUUAGCUUACUCCUGUCUAUACAGAAAUAAAUAAAAUCAUUGAAAAUCGGAUACUACACCAGAAAGCAUGAUUUGGCCUACAGUUGGAAGAGCCCGCAUGUUGGGCAGCACGUGCUGCAAAUACAAAAUAGAUUAUUGUUGAGAUGUGACUGUCAGUGAAAAGCAGAGACCCAGCAAUGCAUAUCAUAUUAUUUAUUUCAAUGAUUUCCUUAUAUGAACUGUAAGUCGGUAAAAUCUGUGAUAUUUUUUCAUCUUGUGUUUAUAUUUUUGUUCAGUAUAUAAUAAUGUUAUGGUAAAUUUAAGCAUUUUAUGAUUAUUCCUCGUGACUACUUGUUUUGUUCCACAGUUUGUCAUGGUUAUAAUAUCAGUAUGUGCAUGUAGUUUAGAGUUUCAAUUUUUAAUGUCAUGUGCACAAGUACAGUGAAAUGCCUUUCUUGCAAGCUCUAAACCCAACAAUGCAGUAAUCAAUAAUAAGAUGUAUAGAUGUUUGUGAUGAUAUUGUACACAGUAAGUGCCAGGAAAUGUGUGUGUGCAAUAUCAAGUAACCCAAUCCCACCCCUAUUAUGACAAUAUGAGGUCUUUGUAUCUUUGUACUUUAAUAAAUGUUCUGUAUUAACUAAUGGAAGUAUAGGUUGUCUUUAAUCUACUCGUUGUCUAAAAGCAUUUUUCAACAGAUCAGAUAGCUGAAGUAAAUUCCUAUCAGUCAAAUCGGAGAAGUCAUGCCUUACUAGACUGCUUUUAACAGACCAGG
rnacentral:lncRNA from 1 species